AGCCUCUUUGAAAGUCUGUGUACUUUUUCAUUUCAAUUGGGCUGAGAGAUACUUGGCUGAAAUUUUUCCCCAAAGAGUUCUCAUUAGCACAGCAGCAAACUCAGCAGACUGAUAUUUAUUCAGAACUUUUUGUUUCUAUAAGUUUAGCUAAGCUAAACAGAAUGAAAUAACUAAUACCUGAGACAUAGUGUACUUCAGCAUUCAGAAAUCAGUUACCUUCAGUAUUUUUACUUCUUUAAUGAAACUUGAAAUACAAUUCUCCUAAUAUAUUCUCCUGAACACAAUAAUUUUCCUUCCUGAGCUUUUGUUUUAAAAAAAAUACCUUCCGCUUCUUUGUAUAAAGACUUUCUGUACUACCAUAUUUUCAUAAUUUUGGAUGGUUGAGCUUGUACUGCUGAAUAGAUGUUGCCGCAAGAUCUCUUAAGGAGCACACAUUGCAAUUCCUCCUCUCGUGCUUGUCUUUGCGUUUGCCAUAUUAGCAACUUGCUUUUUUGGCCAUCACAUAAUUCCUGUUCAUGUUCUGUCAUAUGACCAGGUCCGGAUGCCACUUCAACCCAAAGAAAGAUUUCUCUGCAAGUUAUCAAACAUGUUCUUGCCACAGGAACUGCAACAUGGUCCAAAAUGCCUAAGAAAGGCUCUUGUUUGUCUGAGUGGUGGGUCCACAAUCCAAGCCUGUUCCUGGGACAUACAGGAGAGAAAGCAUCGUGGAAAAAAUUCACUGAAUAAUCUGAGUGACCACAGAGAAAAACACAUCCAAAUGUUGUCCACCUCCUCUGCUUAGCCUGAUAGGAGCCGCUGGUAUUGUCUGUAAAGCACCAAGGAGCUUUCUAAACGAUGAAGCAUUUGGGUGUUGGAUUGGGUUCAAACCAUUAAACAGGUAGGAGCUGUGUAAAGCACCAACAGUAAAUUUUCAUGUGGUUCAGGAUUUUAAACAUCCCCAAAGUUCCAUUUAAAUACACGGUGACGACUCACAUCUAUCUGUAAAUGAAAUAUAUACAGCAAAAAUGUCUAAAUGCUUCAGAAAUAGAAAUCAAUUAUUAUUACUUUAGGUUUCCCUCAUGAGAACAUUCGUUAGUUUUCCAUAGCACUAAGGAGACUGAAUAAAAUAUAUGUGUGUGUGUGGACUCUAAACA
rnacentral:lncRNA from 1 species